UGAAUACGAGACGCUAAGGCGUCGAAGUAGUGUAUGUCAUACUUCCAAGAAAAGCUUGCACUGUCAUAGAUAAAAAACGCCUGUACCAUAACCGACACAGGUGGGUAGGUAGAGUAUACUAAGGGGCGCGAGAUAACUCUCUCUAAGGAACUCGGCAAAAUAACUCCGUAACUUCGGGAGAAGGAGUGCCUUAUUCGUAAGGUUGCAAUAACAAGAUCCAAGCAACUGUUUAUCAAAAACACAGGUCUCCGCUAAGUCGUAAGACGAUGUAUGGGGGCUGACGCCUGCCCAGUGCCAGAAGGUUAAAGAAGUUGGUUAGCAAUUGCGAAGCUGAUAACUGAAGCCCUGGUGAACGGCGGCCGUAACGAUAACGGUCCUAAGGUAGCGAAAUUCCUUGUCGGGUAAGUUCCGACCCGCACGAAAGGCGUAAUGAUUUGGAUACUGUCUCGGAGAGGGGCUCGGUGAAAUAGACUUGUCUGUGAAGAUGCGGACUACCUGCACCAGGACAGAAAGACCCUAUGAAGCUUUACGGUAACUUGAAAUUGAAAUUGGACUUUAUUCGCGCAGUAUAGGUGGGAGGCGUUGAUUAUAAUCUUGUGGGAUUAUUGGAGCCAUCAGUGAGAUACCACUCUUGUAAUGUUGGAUUUCUAACUUUGAAUCAUUAUCUGGUCAAAGAACAGUUUCAGGCGGGCAGUUUGACUGGGGCGGUCGCCUCCUAAACGGUAACGGAGGCGUACAAAGGUUUCCUCUGAACGGUUAGAAAUCGUAUCUAGAGUGUAAAGGCAUAAGGAAGCUUGACUGUGAGACCUACAAGUCGAGCAGGGACGAAAGUCGGUCUUAGUGAUCUGACGGUACUGAGUGGAAAGGCCGUCACUCAACGGAUAAAAGUUACUCUAAGGAUAACAGGCUGAUCUCCCCCAAGAGUUCACAUCGACGGGGAGGUUUGGCACCUCGAUGUCGGCUCAUCGCAUCCUGGGGCGGUAGUACGUCCCAAGGGUUGGGCUGUUCGCCCAUGAAAGCGGUACGCGAGCUGGGUUCAGAACGUCGUGAGACAGUUCGGUCCAUAUCCGGUGUAGGCGUUAGAAUAUUGAGAGGAGCCUUCUUUAGUACGAGAGGACCGAGAAGGACAUACCUCUGGUGUACCAGUUAUCGUGCCAACGGUAAACGCUGGGUAGCUAUGUAUGGAGUGGAUAACCGCUGAAAGCAUCUAAGUGGGAAGCCCACCUCAAGAUAAGUAUUCUC
rnacentral:rRNA from 1 species